rnacentral:rRNA from 1 species
CCUACGGGUGGCAGCAGUGGGGGAUAUUGCACAAUGGGGGCAACCCUGAUGCAGCGACGCCGCGUGUGGGAAGACGGUCCUCUGGAUUGUAAACCCCUGUCCCCAGGGACGAAGAUGACGGUACCUGGGGAGGAAGCUCCGGCUAACCACUUGCCCGCCGCCGCGGUAAUACGUAGGGAGCGAGCGUUGUCCGGAAUUACUGGGGGUAAAGGGAGCGGAGGCGGGGAUGCAAGUUGGGUGUCAAAACUACCGGCUCAACUGGGAGUCGCACUCAAAACUGCAGCUCUUGAGUGAAGUAGAGGCAGGCGGAAUUCCUAGUGUAGCGGUGAAAUGCGUAGAUAUUAGGAGGAACACCAGUGGCGAAGGCGGCCUGCUGGGCUUUAACUGACACUGAAGCACGAAAGCGUGGGGAUCAAACAGGAUUAGAUACCCUUGUAGUC